UACGUAGGGACCAAGCGUUGUUCGGAUUUACUGGGCGUAAAGGGCGCGUAGGCGGCGCGGUAAGUCACUGGUGAAAUCUCUGAGCUUAACUCAGAACGGCCAAGUGAUACUGCAGUGCUAGAGUGUGGAAGGGGCAAUCGGAAUUCUUGGUGUAGCGGUGAAAUGCGUAGAUAUCAAGAGGAACACCUGAGGUGAAGACGGGUUGCUGGGCCAACACUGACGCUGAGGCGCGAAAGCCAGGGGAGCAAACGGG
rnacentral:rRNA from 1 species